ensembl:snRNA U6 U6 spliceosomal RNA
AAUCUUAGGCCAACAUAAUGUACUAAAUCUGGAAAGACACAGAAAUGAUUAAUGUGGCCCCUAUGCAAAGAUGACAUGCAAAUGUGUAGCAUUCCAUAUUUUU